GACGAACGCUGGCGGCGCGCUUAACACAUGCAAGUCGAGCGAUGAAAUCUUGACAGAACCCUUCGGGGUGAAGAUAAGAUGGAUUAGCGGCGGACGGGUGAGUAACACGUGAGUAACCUGCCUUAGACAUUGGGAUAGCCUCGGGAAACCGGGAUUAAUACCAAAUGAAAUCACAUAUGCACAUGCAUAAAUGAUCAAAGCUCCGGCGGUCUAAGAUGGACUCGCGUCCCAUUAGCUAGUUGGUGAGGUAACGGCCCACCAAGGCGACGAUGGGUAGCCGGCCUGAGAGGGUGAACGGCCACAUUGGAACUGAGAAACGGUCCAAACUCCUACGGGAGGCAGCAGUGGGGAAUAUUGCACAAUGGAGGGAACUCUGAUGCAGCGACGCCGCGUGAACGAAGAAGGCUUUCGAGUCGUAAAGUUCUUUUAUAUGGGAAGAUAAUGACGGUACCAUAAGAAAAAGCCCCGGCUAACUACGUGCCAGCAGCCGCGGUAAUACGUAGGGGGCUAGCGUUGUCCGGAAUCACUGGGCGUAAAGGGUUCGCAGGCGGAAAUGCAAGUCAGGUGUAAAAGGCAGUAGCUUAACUACUGUAAGCAUUUGAAACUGCAUAUCUUGAGAAGAGUAGAGGUAAGUGGAAUUUUUAGUGUAGCGGUGAAAUGCGUAGAUAUUAAAAAAGAAUACCGGUGGCGAAGGCGACUUUACUGGGCUCAUUCUGACGCUGAGGAACGAAAGCGUGGGUAGCAAACAGG
rnacentral:rRNA from 1 species